rnacentral:tRNA from 1 species
UUGUAGCUCAGCUGGAUAGAGCAUUCGCCUUCUAAGCGAACGGUCGCAGGUUCGAAUCCUG